rnacentral:rRNA from 1 species
ACGCUGACAGAAUGCUUAACACAUGCGAGUCUACUUGAACUUCGGUUUGGGUGGCGGACGGGUGAGUAACGCGUAAAGAACUUGCCUUACAGUUAGGGACAACAUUUGGAAACGAAUGCUAAUACCUGAUAUUAUGAUUUUAGGGCAUCCUAAGAUUAUGAAAGCUAUAUGCACUGUGAGAGAGCUUUGCGUCCCAUUAGCUAGUUGGAGAGGUAACGGCUCACCAAGGCGAUGAUGGGUAGCCGGCCUGAGAGGGUGAACGGCCACAAGGGGACUGAGACACGGCCCUUACUCCUACGGGAGGCAGCAGUGGGGAAUAUUGGACAAUGGACCAAAAGUCUGAUCCAGCAAUUCUGUGUGCACGAUGACGUUUUUCGGAAUGUAAAGUGCUUUCAGUUGGGAAGAAAAAAAUGACGGUACCAACAGAAGAAGUGACGGCUAAAUACGUGCCAGCAGCCGCGGUAAUACGUAUGUCACAAGCGUUAUCCGGAUUUAUUGAGCGUAAAGCGCGUCUAGGUGGUUAUGUAAGUCUGAUGUGAAAAUGCAGGGCUCAACUCUGUAUUGCGUUGGAAACUGCAUGACUAGAGUACUGGAGAGGUAAGCGGAACUACAAGUGUAGAGGUGAAAUUCGUAGAUAUUUGUAGGAAUGCCGAUGGGGAAGCCAGCUUACUGGACAGAUACUGACGCUAAAGCGCGAAAGCGUGGGUAGCAAACAGGAUUAGAUACCCUGGUAGUCCACGCCGUAAACGAUGAUUACUAGGUGUUGGGGGUCGAACCUCAGCGCCCAAGCUAACGCGAUAAGUAAUCCGCCUGGGGAGUACGUACGCAAGUAUGAAACUCAAAGGAAUUGACGGGGACCCGCACAAGCGGUGGAGCAUGUGGUUUAAUUCGACGCAACGCGAGGAAC